rnacentral:tRNA from 1 species
GAUGUGAAUUGGCUUGGUGAUGAGCGGUUGGAUAAUUUCCCAGCUGAUGGUGUUGAGGUAGCUGUAAAAGUGCGUUCAACACGUCCGCCGCAUCU